rnacentral:rRNA from 1 species
GAUGAACGCUGGCGGCGUGCUUAACACAUGCAAGUCGAACGGGAAUUACUUUAUUGAAACUUCGGUCGAUUUAAUUUAAUUCUAGUGGCGGACGGGUGAGUAACGCGUGGGUAACCUGCCUUAUACAGGGGGAUAACAGUCAGAAAUGACUGCUAAUACCGCAUAAGCGCACGGAACCGCAUGGUUCUGUGUGAAAAACUCCGGUGGUAUAAGAUGGACCUGCGUUGUAUUAGCUAGUAGGUGAGGUAAUGGCUCACCUAGGCGACGAUACAUAGCCGACCUGAGAGGGUGAUCGGGCCACACUGGGACUGAGACACGGCCCAGACUCCUACGGGAGGCAGCAGUAGGGAAUCUUCGGCAAUGGGGGCAACCCUGACCGAGCAACGCCGCGUGAGUGAAGAAGGUUUUCGGAUCGUAAAGCUCUGUUGUAAGUCAAGAACGGGUGUGAGAGUGGAAAGUU